UCGGAAAUGGCCGGUGUGAUCACAAUGAUGUUAUCAAGAAUACGCACACAGUGUAAACGUUAUAGUUAUUAUAUGAAAUGAUGGUGUGUAUUGAGCUAAAUACUCACAUUAACUUUUGAAAAUAAUUAGUGUUUUGGAAUAUAAUGCUUAUACCGCUUCAAAUUCUUGAAACAACCUUUGGUUUAUUUCUAGAUAACUUUAUUACACAUUUUAUAUUUUAGAAUCGAAAGUAGAAACAAGCCUGUAAAAUGGCGACCGGCGGAGGGAACAUCAGAAUUGAUGACAUAAGCAGCGACAUGGCUAAUGGAUGUAUAACGAUGAGAUAUUGUGAACCGUGUAAGAAGGAUAACACCUCUAUAGAUACCACACAUUACUGUACCGUUUGGAUUGAAUUUCUGUGUGAUGAUAGCAAGAGAGGACACAGUCGCUUCAAAUCUGGAAACCAUGUAUUCGUAAAUGCAAUAGACGUAACUGAUGUACCUAUUGUUGUGGAUAUGAAAGACAUUGACACAAGAAGAAAUUAAAAUUCUUCUGCAAGGACCAUUCACUGUUAUGCUGUAGCAAAUGUGCAUUUAUUCACAGGACGUGUAAAAGCGUUGAAGAAAUUGCGAAGAUUUCUGACAAGAUGAGAGAAAAUUUAAAAGAAUUACAUGAUUCUUUUGUAAAAGCAGGCGACAAAGAGCAGCUUCAAAUUGAAGACUGCACUAAAACAGUUAAGACUCUUGAAGGCAAGGUAACACCAUUUCAGAAAACUAUCGAAACUAAGAUGGAGGAAACUAUCAAACUCUUAGAGACUGCAAAGUCAACGAUAACUAAUGAAGCUUACACCAUAUUUGCAAACGAAUCAGAGCGCUUAAAGGAAAGAAAGAUCUCUUCUGAAAAUACACUUAAGAUAAUUUCUGAAAUGCAGCCAAUGUGCCUGGGUGUGAUUACUAAUGGAACUCCACAACAGGCAUUUAUCCUCGCAAAAUAUAUUGAACAGAAACUAAAAGAGAUUGAAAUAAACGACAAUGAGCAAAGCAAGAAGCAUUUCAAGAUGAAUUUAUAUUUGAAGUUUGCCAAAGAGACAGCAUCGCUUCUUCGUAAAGGACCUGCAGUUGUGAAAUUGAUUGACGAUGAGACAAAAUUUUAACACAGACGGUGUGGUCUGUUCAUUUUCGCCCUCUCCAACAGUAGUACCCGAUAGUGGUAAAACUUGUUUGGGUCUAAAGCAACUGAAGUGUCUAAAUUUUACAGUCGCGAGGAUGGAUUUUCUGCCUGACAAGAGGCUAGUAGUUGCGUAUGCAGAUAAGCAAUUAUAGUUAUGGACGACCUAUUUACAAAAGCAAGGGAAGCAAUUUUGUUUGUCAUAUCAUCCAGUAGGCAGAUUGUCUGUGUGUCGAAUACAGAUGUUGCUGUUAUGACAGAAUGCAAACAGAUUGUCAUUAUCUCCGUGAGUCAAGAUAACAUUAUUACAUUAAAACGGACGUUAAGUUCAACACAGCAGUAUGAUUGCUUCUGCAUUGUGGACAGUAACACAAUAUUCGCCAUCAACGAUUAUGAAAUGAAAGGUGCAAAAAUAAGCGUUUUGGAUGGCAAGGAAUCGUUAUUUAAUAAAUUACAAUUUCAAAAAAGAACGACAGAUGCCAAUCACAGUAAAUUAUACUGUGCAUAUCUCAAUGAUAGUGUUACGUUGAUAGUUUGCGACCUGGGCCACCAACGAGUAUACAUAUACAACACAGCCACAGGAACAUCCACAGACGUGAAAUUAGACGAAACUAUAGUACACGUAUCCUCAAUUCCUGACAAAACAGUGCUAGUGUUCUGUAGUAAUAGUAUUUUUAAUAUAUCACUUGCCGGCCAAGUACUAUCCAAAUAUAAUACGGCUUACUUGUGGCCUCAAAAAAUUUGCCUAAGUAAAGAUUGUACCAGAUUUGCUGCAACUUACGCACAUAAAAUGAAUUUGAUGGAAUUGAAAUUAACGUGAAACUUCAAUAGAGAUUUACGAACAUUUAUUAACCAACUUAUUAAAAACAUCAACAACUAACGCAACAAUUUUGAUAAUUUUAAUAAAAAAAAAUAAAAAUAACUUAAUCCGGUAUACGAAUAAACAAGCAUGGCUUUAAUGACCAUUUGAAUUGAUAUUCAUGUGACGUGCUAUCAAUAAAGUCUAAGAGUAUCAAUAUCAUCGAUUAUUUGACUUCUCAGACCAGAUUACUUGCGUCAUGUAUAUUUUGCUUUUUGUGUCAUGAGUAUAGCAAUUAGGAUAUUAACGCUAUGCAAACAAGACAUGUACCAUAUCAUUCGGAUGUAUCACGAUAUUUAUUUAACCUCAUAUUGUUUUGUAAAAGAAGCAACAUAACGUUUUAAAAUAAAUUAAUAUCUUUAAAUUUAACAGAAAGGUUAACUUUAACAAUCGAACCAUUAUUCGAAGAUAAAUUAAUCUUAAUAUUAACAAGAUAAGUUUGUGGAAUACUAUUUCCCCCCCCCCCAUAUAUUUGACAUUUGACCUUGAAGGAUGACCUUGACCUUUCAACACUCAAAAUGUGCAGCUCCCUGAGAUACACAUGCAUGUCAAAUAUCAAGUUGCUAUCUUCAAUAUUGCAAAAGAUAUGGCCAAUGUUAAAGUUUGACGCAAACAAACCAACAAACAGACAGGGCAAAAACAAUAUGUCCCUCAGCAGAGACUGGGGGACAUAAGAACAUCCUCAUCUAUUAAUAUUCUCUGAUAACGAGUCUUUUUAAACUCGUAAAUGCGUGUAUAUUAUCACAAUGAUACCUAUCUGACAGAAUAACCUGCAUGAAUUAAAUCAAGAGGACCCAUGUCGGUUAAAACGUGAACACGUGGAUCCAUUGAACUAGUAAAUAUAUGGUUCAUCGAAUGAUUACGUUAUGUUAAUAUUAUUUAAGAAUACAGGAAAUUAACACUUUGUAAUUUGUAAAAUACAAAACUCUGAAAACGACAAUGAACAGGAGAGAAAAUAAAAUAAAAUGUAAUGCACACAAUUUAAUGUAGUAUGAGUAUAAUAUAUCGGAUGUAUUUGUAAAGCGAGUAUAAAGAUAUUAUUACCUUUAUUGAAACAGAUAAAACGAUGAACCAAAAAACUAGAAAUAAAAGUUCGGAAAAAGGAGUAGAAGAAAAUGAGCGAAUUAAAUUUAGUAUUGAAUUGCAAAUAAGUGUUUGCUUAACAGCAGAAAACACCUGCAUGUGAAUGACGUGUUACGUUGGAUAAUUCCCAGAUGGUUUGUGCAGAUUUGUUUAUACAACACAUCGACAUAAUUUUGUUUCUAUAACAUAUAAUGGAAAACGUGUCGGUGAAUUACUGAUUUAUGGUAUCAUACACAAAUUGUUAAAUGACUUUCUUCGUAGUACACUUAUGAUAAUUAAAUAUGAGCUUGUACCACACAUGUAUUAGUUGUGUUAAUAAUACUUUCACACUAUUUUACUUCAUUUAUACGAAAAUAUAGUUGAUAACAUUUGAUACAAAAUAAUACGUCACUUGCUUUGAAUAAAAUACUAGCGGAUGUUUACAAGAUGUUCUCUUCAUAAUGUUGCAGGACUUUCAUAAUGUUUGUGCCCCCGAAGGUGGGCAUAUCGUGAUCGCACUGUCCGUCUGUCUGUCUGUCUGUUUGUCCGUCUGUCUGUCACACUUUUGCGUUUAGGAUUCGAAAAAUGCUAAUAACUUCUAUGUCGCUUCAGAUGUAAACUUCAUAUUUGGCAUGCAUGUGUAUAUGGACAAGGUCUUUUCAUACGCACACAAAUUUUGAUCCCUUUGACCUUGACCUUGAACUUAGGGUCCGCGUUUAGGUUUCGAAAUCUGCGUUUAGGUUUCCAAAAAAUCGUUUUUCGGGGGCAUAUGUCUUCCUAUGGAGACAGCUCUUGUUGUAUAUACACCGUACUUUAAAGAAAACUUAUAUAGUAUCUCUACAUUAAUUUUCAGAAUAUUUUAUCUUAUGUUUUAUAUGUAUUUGUAAUGUGCAGAAAUAUAGAAAAAAUGAAACUCCAGAAACAAUACUAGGAUAGAAAUUUUGAUAAACCUCCAUUAAUUGUUAAUUGUAAGCGCAUGCUUAAUCACCUAUGUAAUAAAUGUUAUGUUAUAAAUGAACAGGGAAUACAAUUUCUUCUCAGAUAAAGUUAACUAUUUGAAAAACAAAUUUCGGCUACCGCAAUAUAAAUUCGCAUGUUUGGUAUGUGGCAUUUCCUCUUAUUUAAAGUUGUGAAUACCGUCAAACAAAAAAGUUUAUUGUUUACAUACUAUACUGUUGAAACACAACAACUAGUAUCUCUAAAAUAGAAAUCAACUGAACAAUCUUGUGUAUAUAUUUAACUUAUGUUUGUACUCCAUAUUAGUUAAAAGGCUUUUUUAUUUAUUUAUUUUCGUAUUUUGUAGAUGUCGUGUAUGGCUCUUGCGAUAGGAACGAUGUCAUGCAUAUAUUAAGUUUUGUACUUGCAUAUUAUGAAAACGCUUAAAUCAUGUAAUCACUCAAAUGUAUGAUCAAUAUUUUUUCAAAAUGUACGCACUAUGUUUUAAAUGCUUUAUUCACAACCAUGCUUGUUUAUUUUGUACAUUAUAUUCAAUAAUAAGCAAUAACAAAUAUACACAUA